rnacentral:lncRNA from 1 species
UAAGCAGUGGAUGGACGUCUAACUCUUCUUUCUCUCUUGUCUGUAAGUCCUUCUAGAAGUGGUUACUAGUUUUUCUUGCUUCUAGUAUGAAUGGCCUCCUGCAUAAAAAAGAAACAAAUACCCUACAAGCACUUUUAUAAAAAAAAUAAAACAAAAACAAAAACAAAAUAUAUACAAACAAGUCAAACUUAAUCAAUUUAUACUACUAAAAAAAAUAAACCACGAGUCCCCGACAACGACGCCAAAAACUUG